UGGGGAAUAUUGGACAAUGGGGGGAACCCGUGAUCCAGCCAUGCCGCGUGUGUGAAGAAGGCCUUUUGGUUGUAAAGCACUUUAAGCGAGGAGGAGGCUACUCUAGUUAAUACCUAGGGAUAGUGGACGUUACUCGCGAAUAAGCACCGGCUAACUCUGUGCCAGCAGCCGCGGUAAUACAAGGGUGCGAGCGUUAAUCGGAUUUACUGGGCGUAAAGCGUGCGUAGGUGGCCAAUUAAGUCAAAUGUGAAAUCCCCGAGC
rnacentral:rRNA from 1 species